rnacentral:tRNA from 3 species
GCCGCUGUAGCUCAGCUGGUAGAGCGGCGCUUUCGUAAAGCGUAGGUCACCGGUUCAAAUCCGGUCAGCGGCUCCA